rnacentral:rRNA from 1 species
ACGAGACCCCUGCCUGCUAAAUAGUUGAGCGAAUGAAUGUUCAUUGGCUACAGCUUCUUAGAGGGACGUGCGUUCUAUUAGACGCAGGAAGAUAGGGGCAAUAACAGGUCUGUGAUGCCCUUAGAUGUCCUGGGCCGCACGCGCGUUACACUGAUGCACUCAACGAGUCUACCUUGGCCGAGAGGCCUGGGAAAUCUUGUUAAUUUGCAUCGUGAUAGGGAUAGAUUAUUGCAAUUAUUAAUCUUGAACGAGGAAUUCCUAGUAAACGCAGAUCAUCAAUCUGCAUUGAUUACGUCCCUGCCCUUUGUACACACCGCCCGUCGCACCUACCGAUUGAAUGGUCCGGUGAAGCCUC